GCNCCUUACCAUGCNAGUCGAACGGCUAACGACGGNAAGCUUGCUUCCGGGCGACGAGCUGGCGGACGGGUGAGUAAUACUUAGGAAUCUGCCCAGCUAGUGGGGGACAACCAGGAGAAAUCCUGGCUAAUACCGCAUACGCACUACGGUGGAAAGUGGGGGAUCUUCGGACCUCACGCUAUUGGAUGAGCCUAAGUCGGAUUAGCUUGUUGGUGAGGUAAAAGCUCACCAAGGCGACGAUCCGUAGCUGGUCUGAGAGGACGAUCAGCCACACUGGGACUGAGACACGGCCCAGACUCCUACGGGAGGCAGCAGUGGGGAAUAUUGGACAAUGGGGGCAACCCUGAUCCAGCAAUGCCGCGUGUGUGAAGAAGGCCUGCGGGUUGUAAAGCACUUUCAGUAGAGAAGAAAAGCCUAGGGUUAAUAACCCUGAGUCUUGACGUAACCUACAGAAGAAGCACCGGCUAAUUCCGUGCCAGCAGCCGCGGUAAUACGGAGGGUGCGAGCGUUAAUCGGAAUUACUGGGCGUAAAGCGCGCGUANGCGGUUUUGUCAGUCGGAUGUGAAAGCCCCGGGCUUAACCUGGGAAUUGCAUUCNAUACUGCAUAACUAGAGUACGGUAGAGGGAAGUGGAAUUCCGGGUGUAGCGGUGAAAUGCGUAGAUAUCCGGAGGAACAUCAGUGGCGAAGGCGGCUUCCUGGACCAAUACUGACACUGAGGCGCGAAAGCGUGGGGAGCAAACAGGAUUAGAUACCCUGGUAGUCCACGCCCUAAACGAUGAGAACUAGCCGUUGGGAGCAUUUAAGCUCUUAGUGGCGCAGCUAACGCGUUAAGUUCUCCGCCUGGGGAGU
rnacentral:rRNA from 1 species